UCUUACUAAACUGCCGUAUGCAAUCGCUUAAGUAGCAAAGAUCUUGUUUCUCUCUCAGCCCAGUAAUCCCGGUGACGUCCUUUUGCAGUGAUCCAGGACCCCCUCCCUGGGCAGUGUGAGAACGGGCAGGGACACAGCCCCUGAUGGGACCGCAGAGCCUGGAGCCUUCCCUUCCUUCUGCUGCUCCUGUCCUCGCCCCGUCUCCCAUCACCAACGCUCCAUCUGCGUCCCCCAAAGCAACCAGGCUCCGGCAGCAGCCCUCCUGCAAGCCCGGCUGGAAAAUGAUAGCUCAACAUGUUCUGUUUGCACGCCGUGUCCUCCCCAUCUACCUGAAGGUCUUAAACCGUCCUUGAAAACAGUUAUCACCAGCAAGUAUCCUUGAACUAAGAGUGAAAGUUAUUUAAACUGUCGGUGUUAAAAAGACAAAACUAGUAACCAUUUCUGUGCUGUUUCAAAAGCUGUUAUCUCAAAUGCUGGAUGCUUCUUAUGGUAGUGAGGAAAAUGGCUUUAUCCCUGCUAUGACAGCAGGUUUCAGCUCAGGGCAAAGCAGAACUUCUCUGACCGCAAGCUCAUUCGCUAGCACUGGAAGGACAUAAACCAAGCACCAACUGAAAAUGAAAUUAUUUGAGAGAGCAAAAGAGAGCAGAGUUGAUCUGCUUGCAUUGAGCUCUCUCCAGUAGCCCCAAGAUUCCCACAUUUCCUGGUCUCUGAGCCUGGAAGGGCAGGAGCCGUGCCUGGGUGCUGGCUUGGGGUAGAUAGGGAAGCGCUGCUUAUCUUCUAGCAGAAGGAGCUGCACAAUUUCCCUCCCAGCCUGUGGUUAGCCUGCUUCCCCACACACAGGAAAGAAUGGUUUGUCUAUAGACUUACUCUCUCCCCUCCUCCCUGUGAGGGAGGGGAGCUUUCUUUUAAGCAAGGAAAGAGUCAGCAACGCUUUGGGAAGUGUUACUCUCUCUCUUAAGUGCUGUUUCAGGAAAUGUCUGUGUUUUUUCCCAAGCAGGGUGCAGAACGUUUUCUAAACCUUGCACAGCACCGAGCCAGGUAGUUUGUAAAGGGAUGGGGGGCCUAGGAGUUGUUUUCUUUCACCUGAGUUUAGGUGUUCCUCUUUCUCAAGUAUUCUUCAGAAACAUUUGUGAGUUUUCAUGAACCCCCCUAGCUGGCCAUGCAUAGGAGUAAAUCAUGUUAUUCUCUCUAGAGAGAUUUUGCUUUAGGCAACACUGUGUUGUGGCAAAUGUGACAGCAAUGUGACAAACAUUAACACAUUUUCCUGAGAAUGCCCAAUAGUUAGCUACAGAAAUGCAACUGUUUAAUAUUUUGUGAGUCAAAAAAAACGAACCUAAGCUUUUCAGACAAAUG
rnacentral:lncRNA from 1 species